CGAUUUGUUUGCUGUUUAAUAAUGAUUUACGAUGUGUUUUGUCAUAUCUAGGGUUUGCUUGUGGUCUUUCGUAUCCGUCAAAACCCUAAUCGACCGGAGAAAUCGUCAAAAGUUCUUCACAAUAUGAUCGUUCCACAUAAUUUGCAGGUGAAGAGCUUCUUUCAGACUCCUUCCCCUACAAGGAACUAUUGAAUGGGUUCCUAUGAGAAGUUGAAGA